rnacentral:rRNA from 1 species
GUGCCAGCAGCCGCGGUAAUACCGGCAGCCCGAGUGAUGGCCGAUCUUAUUGGGCCUAAAGCGUCCGUAGCUGGCUGCGCAAGUCCGUCGGGAAAUCCACUCGCCCAACGAGUGGGCGUCCGACGGAAACUGCACAGCUUGGGACCGGAAGGCUCGAAGGGUACGUUCGGGGUAGGAGUGAAAUCCCAUAAUCCCGCACGGACCACCGGUGGCGAAAGCGCCUCGAGAAGACGGACCCGACGGUGAGGAACGAAAGCCAGGGUCUCGAACCGGAUUAGAAACCCGAGUAGUCC